CUCGGGGUGGGUAUCCCUCAGCCCAGAUUGCGAGAGGGUGCAGGCCAGGCUGAAGGACCCCACUGGUGCACA
rnacentral:pre_miRNA from 1 species